GUUGCGGGGACUGUUGUCUGGCUCGAGGACUCUUAGUUUCAUUUUCUCAUGUUCAUACACAAUUUAUCUCUUCAGAUCUGCUGCUGUUUGGAUCUAAAAACACAUGUACAAACAUAACACCAAACACACAGAUCUGAGAGAACGAUCCGUGUUUGAUCUUGAAUUAAGCGUUGUCGGACCAGGCUUCAUUCCCCCCAAU
rnacentral:pre_miRNA from 1 species